UAUAUUAUAUAUAUUUCACUGUUUUUCAAUAGCUGCAUGCUUUAAUUUCUCCCUUAACAACGUUCUAAAUCUCUGAGCCUUUGCCAAAUGCGACAGUUUUAGCAUAAUUUCUCUGGGCUUCCUCCCUUAUCUUGGCCGGAAAAUGGAAUAUUGUGUUUUCAAUUUUCGUUUCUUGCUCAGAGUAGCCAUUGAUCAUGACGAGAUAGGCCUACCUAGAAUUUUUAUUUUGUGUUGGGUUUCCUAAGAUAAGAAAUUAAUCAAUUCUCCUUGGCACCUCCUCCUCCUCCUCCUAAGCCUUCAUUGUCGCACUGUUUAUUUUAUGUUUUUGCCAGAUUUGAAUAUGCUAUUUUUCUAGUCUUGCAGGAUCUGGAAGUCAAUCAGAAGUACUACAUCGUCCAAGUGUCUUUCUUCCAUUAGGACCAACAAAAGCAUUACACUUGAAGGCUGGCAGUGAAAGAAUCAUGAGGAGGAACUCAAGGAGAUUGAUGAUAGGAUCCACGGCGCCAAUAUGCACUUACAAUGAAUGCAGAGGGUGCAAGUACAGGCCGUGCAGAGCCGAGCAAGUGCCGGUAGAGGGGGAAUGACCCAAUCAGUAGUGCAUACCACUACAGAUGUGUUUGUCAUAGGCCGGGGCGUUGAGCAUUGUUUUGUCAGUUCAUGGGCGUCAAAUGUUAGCUGUUCUUGUGCGCUCUUUGAGUUUUGAACGAUAGCAGGAAAAACAAAAUAUCAUGAAUUUGUGAAUUUCUUUAUUUCCAUGCACUCUGUUCUCACCCAUAUUGAUUAAGCUGCCAAAUUCUCUUUGGAAACUGUAACUCCAUAUGACUGAA